rnacentral:rRNA from 1 species
GACGAACGCUGGCGGCGUGCCUAAUACAUGCAAGUAGAACGCACAGUUUAUACCGUAGCUUGCUACACCAUAAACUGUGAGUUGCGAACGGGUGAGUAACGCGUAGGUAACCUGCCUGGUAGCGGGGGUUAACUAUUGGAAACGAUAGCUAAUACCGCAUAAUAUUGAUUAUUGCAUGAUAAUUGAUUGAAAGAUGCUAUUGCAUCACUACCAGAUGGACCUGCGUUGUAUUAGCUAGUAGGUGAGGUAACGGCUCACCUAGGCGACGAUACAUAGCCGACCUGAGAGGGUGAUCGGCCACACUGGGACUGAGACACGGCCCAGACUCCUACGGGAGGCAGCAGUAGGGAAUCUUCGGCAAUGGACGAAAGUCUGACCGAGCAACGCCGCGUGAGUGAAGAAGGUUUUCGGAUCGUAAAGCUCUGUUGUAAGAGAAGAACGGGUGUGAGAGUGGAAAGUUCACACUGUGACGGUAUCUUACCAGAAAGGGACGGCUAACUACGUG